rnacentral:rRNA from 1 species
AACGUAGGAGGCGAGCGUUAUCCGGAUUCACUGGGCGUAAAGCGCCGGUAGGUGGCUCGUUAAGUUGGUUGUGAAAGCCCCUGGCUCAACUGGGGAGGUCAGCCGAAACUGGCGGGCUUGAGGGUUCGAGAGGUCGGUGGAAUUCCCGGUGUAGCGGUGGAAUGCGUAGAGAUCGGGAGGAACACCAGUGGCGAAAGCGGCCGACUGGCGAAACCCUGACACUGAGAGGCGAAAGCGUGGGGAGC